CAUUGCAAGAUUAACACACACACACUGUCACACAUUCACUCACACAUGCAAACUCUUUCUUUCUCUCCCUUUUCUGGCAGUUUUGCGUCAGUGCUAAGACCACAGGGACGGUUGACAUUUCACUCUGGCUCCGUUUCCAUUCCCUGUGAUCACAGCCAUGCUGCCUCGCCUCCCUUAAAGGUCACUGUUGUUGUUUGUCAAAAUCCCAACAAAAACACACCACGCGAUGCUCUUUGUGUGUGUGUGUGUGUGUGUGUGUGUGUGUGUGUGUGUGUGUGUGUGUGUGUGUAUGAGACAAACACAUAAACUGAGAAAGAGGGAAAGUUUGUGUGUUUAACCUGAAGGAUCGUAAAACAAGAGCUGUCAGUCAAAUCAUAUCAAUUUUAUCCAGACCUAACCAUGGUGCGGUGUGUGUGUGCCAGCAGUAGGUGUGAUUUCUUCCUUGUCUGGUUGGUCACUGGUUAUGUCUCAGUUGUUGUUGCAGGUUUUUUAAAUCUGUCCCAAUCCUACCAGGAGUGCCAGUCUAGCACAAAUUUAGCACAGAAAUGUCAUCUGGGAAAAAACUCAUCUUAUAUCUUAUGAAUUACAAGAAUAACUCUGUAGCUCUAACAUAAUUUUACUAGUUUUUCUUAAUAUCCAGUCUAGUUAUAAUCAAUAAAAAAUACCAUAGAUUUUUCUUUUUUUAAUUCUAAAAUGUAUACAGAUAAGCCACAACAGUGAUUUAAUUGGUGAAAAAAUCAAAUCAAUCUAGUGCAAUAAUUUGCUCAACUGGCAUUAUUGAGGAUGUAACUUUGAAACACAUGACCCACCUAACCAUUGUUGCAGACCAAGCACAACCGCUCAAGGCAAUGGCACUGCGAAAAAGAAAAAGAAAAAACUGCUUAGGAACUGCUUGAAGAUCAUGUCAAACUAAACUCUGCAGGAUGUUCUGCAAUAAGCGACAGCAAAGGAGGCCAAGAAGAUGUUUUCUAUUAGGGAGCUAGUUAUUGAACCACAGCUCUGAGUGAAGUAGGUACUAACAGACUUUUUUGGACAUUAAAAUUCAAAGAAAAAAUACCCUUUGUAUUAAAAUCAGUGUUGUUUAUUUUCUUUUGCUUUCUUUUGUUGUUCCCAUGUUAAUCCGGUCUUUAACUCUAAUGCCAUUAGUUGUUUCCAAGUCCAAACUCCGCUUCAGGUCCCAAUGUCAAAUGAACACUGCAGCAUCACUGAGAGUUACAAACUGUCUAAAUUCUUUCAUCUUAAUAAAAUGAUCAGCGUUGCUGCUUUACCAGGUGUAACAAUUAAGUUUAACAUACAGGCAUCCACGAAAACAGAAUUUUUGAAGUUUAACAGAGUCAGAGGUUAGCAGGGAGUUAGCUCGCUAGUUUCCACCCGAACAUAAUAUACCAUGUUCUGACUGAGGGAUUUCUGAAAAAACAUAAACGUAUAGCUCUGCUAUCACUACCGACAUAAAUGAAGACCGAAAACUAAACAGCAGUGACUUUUUUAGAGUUACUGAAGUUGGGCUACCUGGUAAAUAAUGAUGUGCUGUGUGGUGGCUAGCUACAUAGCUAUGGUUAGCAUAAUAUAAACACAUUAGCGCAGUGAAGCUAGAGGAUGAACGCUAACAUUUUUCCAUUUGAUAAAAGUUAAUGUGAGGGUUCCUGAUGGUUAGAGACAAACGCAGUCACAUGGUAGUAUCCUGUAAACAGACCAAACUUCAGUCAGGAGAACAACUGAGAUAAUCCAUCCACAAUAUGAGGUUAAGUUAUUCAUUUACUACUACAUGGGCUGGGCUGUAGUUACAUCAUAAGGUUUUAAAAACUGAGCUUUAAACUAAAUAGUGGUGAUAAAAACUGAGAGAGGCCGACAGUGAUCACUGCGUUUUUUUAGGGGCUAAUGAAAAGCUAUAUAUAGUAAAUAAUGGGUGUCUCUUAUGAUAUCAAUAAUUAAAUGUUAUGUAUUGGAAGGUAACUAUUUUUAUUUACUGAGCCAAAAACUUUUCUUUGAAAUCCACCAGCAUCAUCAUGGUUAUGGGUUAUGAUUAUUUUCAUAUGAGGGAAAAGCCUGAGAGAUGUUGCAUGCCCAGCUACAAACUCUUGGAUGUUUCCAAAAUCAGCCACAGGGAAUCGGUAGCACAUCUGCCAAUGCUGUUCCUCCAAGACACUGAUGGAAGAAAGGGAGAGGCAUCCAGACCGAGGUUGGUCCUGAUUGUCUUCUUUGCUCAUCUUACCCCACGGCAACUGUAGCUGUCCCUGAAUAAUGUGUUUUGAGUCCUGUCUGGUAAAAGUAAAGUAAAAGUCUUAAUCACACAGCUUAUGUGUUACACAUUAAUGUACUGGACUAAUCUAACAGACUUAUCUUACUUAAUAUCCUUAUAGGUAUAUUAACAAGCACAAUAUUUUUGAUAAAUGCACUACUGUGCUCAAUUCAGUAACUAUGUUACAUUUAUUGCCUUUACAAACAUGCCAUUGCUUGCGUUCAGCUAUCCUAUCCACAUUGAGUGGAUAGAAAGAAAGAAAAACAUCAAGCAUUUAUUUUCCCUCCUGCAAAUGUACACUAUCAUUAGCUGAUGUGGCAGGGAGCAAAAUGGUAGAGCGUUUUUGAUUUUUUUUUUUAAGAGUGGCGAUAUGGACAUUCCUUUUAUUUUCAUGUACAAAACAGUAUAAUUGCAAAGUGCAAACUACAUCCAGGACUGAAAUAACUGCAUGCUAGCAGAACAUCGGCUCUUUGCAAACAUCCGAAUAGAGAACAUGCUAACACAAAGCUAGCAAAGAACGCAACGUCAUUGCCGGCACCCAGAGCCUGAUCUUCAACAGGUAACAACAGGAGUAAUGAACAGUCAGAAAUGCAGCAUUGUAGCCUCAGUGUUUCUACAGAUAAACUGCAGUAAUAGUUGCUUUGAAGUUUAUGGGCUGGUUUUCAAUUUUGCUUUGUGUUGUCAGCUUUGUGUUCAUGUCUCAACUCUAAAAGAAAGAUCGUUUGUAUUUCAUCAUUAGGAUAGGGAUUUGUGUGAUCAUGUGGGACUGUAGCUUCAGGUUUAUGUUGUUAAAUGGUAAUUAUGUGACAGUGUGUGUCAUGCCACAUUAUAAAGUAUUGUAAUGAGUAGUGUAACAGGGAGUAAUUAAGUAAUGUAACACAUUACUUUUCUUAACUAAUGUAUAUCUUUUUGUAUUUUUGUAUUUUUUCAGCACAGUGUUAGCUGUAGAUUCUGGACUUAUAUUGAUGAUGAAAAAAUAGAACUUUGUUGAUUUCGUGAAGUAAUUAAAAUCACGAUUGGGUGCAUUUGGUUUUCAGGUUUUAUACAAAUGAAGACAAAAAUGAUUACUAACAAUUUCUUUACACAGACAAAACCAAGGUAAAGAGUGGGCUGUAUGUACAACAGAUAGAAGAGUAUUUUCUAAUGUUAAUUAUUAAAAACAUGACGUUAGGUACACAUAUAAAUUUAUUGUCUAUUAGAGUUUUUAAAUAAUACUAUGUGGGUAGUUGUGGUAUUGACAUUAUUAUUAGAGCCAGGGUAAAAUUUAGAUUAGUAUGACUAAUUCAUGCAAGUGCAUGGGCUGAUUUUUGCUGUGUACAGUCCGGCACCAAAUUAUGUCGUUAGCACAAGAUGGCAACGUCCACAUCAGCAAUGGGUGCUGGCUGAUUGGAUCAAGCUACAGUAGGUGGAUGUUCCAUUUUAUUUCGAUGUGAUGCGAUGUGAAGGCUGCUCUGUCGUAAUCAGUUAUGACAUAACUAUUAAUAGCCUGACCAUCUGCAGGCACAGGCACUGGUCCCACCAAAAAAAAAUAUUUUUCCACAAGUUUCCCCUCUAUAUGCACAAUUUGACUAAAAUGAACAAUGGUUUUCAGCCUUGUAGUAACCAAUCACCAGUCACAAGUCAACAUAGUAUUCUUUUCAGAUAACACCAACUAUUUUCAUGUGUAUUCAAACUUUCAUGUGCUUAUGAUAUUGUAAUGCUUUAAUCUACAAGCAGUAUUAAUGUAAUAUAUUAUACCCGAUGUGUUCCACUUGUAGAAGAUUUUGCAUUAAUAACUUUUUUUUUUAGGUGUGUUAAGGGGCAUCCAUUAUGUAUAGCAAUAUCUUAAUUUUGUCAGUCUAGUAUCCAGACUGGAUAAGAUAAGCAGAGCACUGUUAAAGACUGUUGAACUAGCAUUUAAUAACAUUUUUACACAUUAUAUUGUGUUUUCUGUUAUAAUCAUGGAAAUAGAAAUCAGUAGUGAUCUGUGUUAGAGCAUUUGCAGCUUGCACUUGAAUGUGAACUGGAGCUACAUGUUCUUGUGAAAGAAUCUGAGGUGCUACGGUACCCAUUUUAAUUGUCUCUCACAUAAUAAAUAGAAUGCAAAUAAGGCGCAAUAACUCAUCACAUCAAAUUCAUAUUCAGCAGUUGGACUUUUUUGUUCUCACAUGCACAUCAGGCAGAUAAUGUCUAGGAAAGUUCAGUGCAUGUGUAAAUCCAGCUUAAGUUAUAGUACUUUAAUAUCAAUCCUCCUGACUGGGCAUGGGCACAUAACAGGGUACUUUUUUGGAUUUUAAAAAUGUUGUUUUGUUUUGUUUGAGCACUACUACAAGAACUCUUAACCAAAAAUACAUUUAGCAUCCAAGAUUCCUCGUUUUUGCUAAACAGGUCAAAGUUUAAAUCGGCAGUCGGUUUAUGCAAACCUUUUAAAAAAGCAAUGAAUAUUUUCUUGAAAAAAAUAUUGGAUAUUGUUUUAAAAAAUAGUUUCCUUUUAAUUUUCCCACAAUGAAUUCAAAUUAUCAUCAUUAAAUAACAGCAUUUAGUUGAAUUCUGAAGAAACAUUUCUACUCAUUUCUGCCUAAUUGCUAACAUUGAAUGAAGAAUAAUUACAGUAAUUGGUAGCCAGCAUUCCAAGUGUAUUUGCAUUUGCCACGUUAUGACUCACCAAGUCUUUAUAUUCAUAAUCAACUGUUUUAUUUACCCUUUUUAUGUCAUUUUAGUUAAAAGGAUCUUUGAAAGAAAAAUGUCCACAAAAAACAGGAGCACAUUAUUAAGUAUAAAUCAUAGGGGUUUAGAAAAUUAAUGAAUACUUUUCACUGAAGCAGUAAUUUAGUUUGGGGGUCUAAUGCUACUCUUUGUGCAUGUGCUGCUGUUGUACGCACAGCAGCAGUAGCCUUAGGCGGUUAAGAUUUGGGUAGCAUUGUACUGUUUUGUUCCUGUUCACUCUCUCUACACACCUGAGGGGGAACUAUGAUGUACAUGUCUCAUAUAACUUUAAAUUUAAUCUGGUGUUUUUCUUAUCAAACAGAUAGGGCAAUGUUACCUGUAAAAAAGGAUUUCUAUUAUAGUUAGGGUAAGCUGACAACAAUGCGCACAUAUGUGUGUAACUGCCAUGUAUAGUCACAUUUUCUUUCAACACAUUGAUUUAAAUCCAAUGAUGAUUUCUUAUGGAUGUUUCUUGUACAGAGACAGCAAGACUGAGAGAAAGGGGGAGAGAGCGAGAGAGAGAGAAAUGGAGAGUGAACACAACUCAGCCCAAAGUGCCUUGAAAAAAAUGAAGAAGGGGAAAAAAAAACAAUUCAGAUGACUGAUUGACACAGCACCCAAUUCAUCACAAUGAGAGAUGGUGGAAAGUAUCUGACAACCAAAAACCACAGUUGGAAGGCGCUCCGAGCCCCUCAAGGCCUAGAUGUGGAUGAACUGUAGUGAACUGAGUGGCAGCUAAGGACAAGAGCCCAAUGUUAAAGUGCAAACUGUGUUCAAGAUCUGCAUUCUACUGCCAGCACAUCAGUUGAUGCAAGCAUCUGCGCAGACAGCAUGCUAACACCAAGCUAGCGAAGAACCCAGAGUGAGGCUGAGUGUAUGGUGACCCCAGUCCAGUCCAGCGAUUUUAUACCUUUACUUUGUGUUUUCAGCUUUGUGUUCCAACAUAAACACUAAAAGAACGUGUUUGUGUGUUUGUCCUCUUUCUGGCAGUGUAAGGUUUGUAAGUGGUAGUUCCGUGACAAUGCAUUUCAGGACAUGUUAAGGAGUAAUACAAAAACAGUGUGUCAAGUAUUGCAGUGGGUUACUUUUUCUUUUUCUUUUCUGUAGUUCAGUAAUGUAAUGCAUUACAUGUAUUAUUAAUGUAGAAUAAAUAAUGUGUUUAAUAGAUUAGUUUUUUAAAGUAAGGGCCCCAACACUGGUAGUGACAUGCUUAAUAAAAACUUGACAAGAUAAACCAUAAUAAGCUCACCAGGAUUAUGAAAACUUUACCUUUUGAUGCUAAAUGUGAAGUAAAAUGUAACAUGAGCACACAUUCUGACUGACUGACUGAAUAGACUUUGAAGCUGAAGAAUGUGACAUGAGUUAUUAGGUCCUGUGAAGUGGGAGCACCUGCACGUGUCACACGGUAAACAAAGCUGCUUGUCAUCAGGUGUAGUGCUAGUGGCAUGUCAGACUGCUACCGCAAGAACUGCUGAAUCCAGGCCAUACGAAUAUUUGAAGACUUGUGUAUUUAUUUGUUUUAUGAGCAAAUCAGUCAAUAUUGUGAAAGGAAAAAAUCUUGCUCCUUAAAGCAACUUCUUAUGAUACCUUAAGUGAGAAAAUAAUCAUGCGUAAUAGAAAUCUGUCCAUAAUAUUAAUCUAGCAUUUGGAAUUUGGAAAUAAUUCUUUAUUUAGCUUGGGAUCGGCUGCAUGGGUGGGUUAAGAGUGUUAGGGUACCUGGGUCGUUGACCCAGUGUUUUCAGUUUUGUACCUUUAUUUGUGUUCUCAUCUUGGUUUAUUACUGUGAAUGUUCUGGUUUCUGUUUUGCAUUUCUAUUUUCCCCGGUUCAUCUUGGUUUGUGAUUUUGUAGUUGUUAAGUUUGGGUUUCCAUACUCCCUCUGUUCUGUGUCCAGUCGGUGUCUGUGUCUGCCCUGGUCCCACGUCUCUGUUCCCUCUGUUGCAGUGUCUGCUUGUGAGUCUGUGACUGUAAGUCCAGUCUGUGUUUCCUGUUUUACUUUGAAAGUCCGUGUCUCAUGUUAAUGUGUCUGCUGUUACUUCCUUUGUCUCGUCAGCCCUGAUUUGCCUCAGCUGUGUUUCCCUCCUGUCUCCCAUUCACUGAUUGCUUCCUCUGUAUUUUCCUUUGUCUGUGUUGCGAUCUACCCUCAUUCAGUACUGUGUGUUCUGUUUACUAGCCUGGUUAGUUUUUGUAUUUUUUCAGUUUAGUUUUUGGUCCGGUUCACCAUUAAAGCUGUUUUCGAGUUCACCUUUUUCGUUUCUGAGAGUCUGCACUUUGGGUCCACCAUUCCAUUUCUACUUGCACACAGCCUUCACUUGACAAAGAGGAGUUUCUAGUGAAGGAAAAACACUCAGAGGAGCUCAUUUAAAAGGCAUAAGAAAAUCAUUAGAUGCAAAACAACUUUCAUUUUACCUCCGAAGAAAUUCUGAGUGAGAACUGCUCUACGGUACCCACUGGUAACAAACCGCAAAAUAUGUCCAUGCCAAAGUCCCCAUGGCUUAUAGAUUCGUGCUUAUCAGCUGUCUAUCAGUUAGGUCUUUCUCCCCCAAAUCAUGCAUUCAAAUCUAGAAAGAUGACAGUUCCUCAUGCUUGUAGAUCAAUAUAUGUGUUUGCCCUAGAGGGAGUUGAAUCUGUUUGUAACAAGUCAUACUGAAACCAAAAAAAUUCCACUAUUUUUGAAACCUGGUGGUAUUUUUCAAACUUUAUGGGGUCUAGAUUGUUAAUAAGGACAAAAAUGUUUGGAAGAAGUCCAAUAAUGAGAAAGAUAGCUACAACUGGCUACCGUGAAGCGGCUCCGAUGUAAUCCCACAGGGCAAUUGUUUUCCCAGGUUCAGAUUGUUGAGCAAAACGUUAACAAAAGAUCCCAACAGGGACAGACCAGUACCUCUGCAAAAGUUACAUAGUUACAGAAAAUGUAGAUGUUGUUAUUGAAAAAAACAACAAAGACAAAAUGGUUUAUGGGUGCAGAUUUCUGAGUUGUGGCAACACAAUGACACACUACCCUUCACAAAAUGGCCUGGCCUGCAUUUGUAUAGCGCUUUACUUUACACUACAUUCAGUCAUUCACACACUGGCAAUGGCA